rnacentral:rRNA from 1 species
GACGAACGCUGGCGGCGUGCUUAACACAUGCAAGUCGAGCGGUGCGGCGAACGGGUGAGUAACGCGUGAGUAAUUGCCCCCCUCCCUGGGAUAACAGUUGGAAACGGCUGCUAAUACCGGAUAGUGGGGUAUGAUUCGCGUCCUAUCAGCUUGUUGGUGGGGUAGUGGCCUACCAAGGCGACGACGGGUAGCCGGCCUGAGAGGGCGACCGGCCACAUUGGGCUGGGGUACAGCCCAAACUCCUACGGGAGGCAGGAGUGAGGAAUAGUGCGCGAUGGGGGAAACCAUGAUGCAGCAACGCCGCGUGCGAGAUGACGGCCUUCGGGUUGUAAACCGCUUUCAGCCAUGACGCGGUAGUGGCAGAAGAAGCACCGGCUAACUACGUGCCAGCAGCCGCGGUAAUUC